rnacentral:rRNA from 1 species
GUCUAACUACGUCUGCGAGCUGCUGUUAAUACGUUGGGUUGUAGGUGUUAGCGGGUGGUCGUGGGGUAAAGUGUGCGUAGGGUGGCUUUCAAAUCGGGUGGUAAAGGCUUCGGCUGAACCGUAUUAAGUCGCCGAAACUUGAAGACUUUAGUGCAGGAGAGGAAAGUUGAAUGCUCAGUGUAGCGGUGAAACGCGGAGAUAUUGAGAAGAACACCAGUAGCGAAGGCGGCUUUCUGGACUGUAACUGACACUGAGGCACGAAAGCGUGGGUAGCAAACAGGAUUAGAUACCCCAGUAGUC